rnacentral:misc_RNA from 1 species
AAGUCGUAACAAGGUUUUCCGUAGGUGAACCUGCGGAAGGAUCAUUUAAAGAGUUAGGGGUUCCUAGUGGCCCAACCUCCCAACCCUCUGUUGUUUAAAACUACCUUGAUUGCUUUGGCGGGACCGUUCGUCUCCGAGCCGUUAACCUUCGGGUUGGCGAGCGCCCGCCAGAGUUCCAACCAAACUCUUGUAUUUAAACCAGUCGUCUGAGUAUAAAUUUUAUUUAAAUUAAAA